rnacentral:lncRNA from 7 species
GUGUGUGAGGGCCUGGGUGGCCUGUUUGCUUUCCAGUAUUUUUCUUGUCCUUGUUCCAGUUCAAGCUGCUGAGGCAUGGGUUGCUGGUUUUACUGCACCUUUUCAUUCCCUCAGGGUGGGAAGAAACCAGGAGGAUGGGGACAAGUGGCUGAGAGAGCUUUGCAAGGAGCAACUGCAUGUGAGGAGGAGUCUUGCUUGGCAACCUUUUAGCUGAAAAGAGAGACCUACAAUAUAUUCUUUACAAUAAAGCGCCAGCUUGAAGCGUUUGGACAGCUGCUGUUUUGAGCAACUAGUUGUGAAAAAGAAAAAUGAAUUACAUCAGCCCCAGAUGGGGAAAUAAACAGCUAGUAUGGGAGUCCUCAGCCCCAUGAGAUUCUGCCUGGAUGUCUUCACUGCCAGAAAAGGCCCUGGGCUCUCUUCCACUCUGAACUUUUACUCAGGAUUUCAUCCAUUCUCUAUUUAACUUCAUCUACCAGACAGCAAGUAGAGCUUAAUUGGGAUCUGACUAUCCAGUUCUGGACAGUGCAAUCUGAAGUGGAAUGUGGAACAGCCCAUAUUGACUCUCUUGGUGUGAACUGUGCUGAAUUAGCAAUGCUUUUGCAGCUGACUUGAUGUGGAAGGAAUGCUGAACAUCUUUGGCUAUGAAUUAAAGGAUAUUUAAGGCUUCAAAAGGGAGGAAUGUAAGGAAAUCACCAAUCUGACUUUCUGCCUCACCUGAGACCAAGUGGCAGUAGGCUUAAGGAGGUGCGUGACAUCUUAACUAACACACCUCACAAACAAUUUUAGGAUGCAGUCUUCUGAGGAAAUGCUGUUCUCCUGCAGGCCUCUUUAGCAGAAUAUUCUUACAUUCUCAUCCUAUAACUAAAUUUACAAGGCAGUGAAACUUAUUUUGAUGGCAACUUUUAAAUUAAUAUUAUUAUUAUUUUUAAAUGAUGAGCUUUAGGGGAAAAAAUUUGUUUAUGUUGAAGGAAAAACAUUUCCUUUUUUGAGGAAGAUCCAGUCACUUACUCCUUCAGGGCUUCAACCUUCUGCUACUGUAAGUGUCUGAUAAAAAGGAGAGGCAAAGGGGGGAGAAAAAAAACUACAGGUAUAUCAACUAGCAAAUAUGUGCUCUCUAAAAGAAGGAAUACUGCCAUUAGAUAUCUCAACAAUAUUUUGUUUUGUUGUAACAGGAAUGAAGUGAUGGCAAGAAGCAGUGUCUCUAGAAACCAGAGUCAAAUUUAUCCAUGAAGCUAGUAGAAUUUGAUCCAUUUGCUCUGUCAGUUCGUCUCAGUUCUGCUUAUGAAGACCACAAGUAAAACUGAGAAUGAAU